rnacentral:rRNA from 1 species
AAAUUUGAAAUCUGGCGCAAGCCCGAGUUGUAAUUUGUAGAGGAUGCUUCUGGCCAGCGGCCGUUCUAAGUUCCUUGGAACAGGACGUCAUAGAGGGUGAGAAUCCCGUAUGUGACCGGCGCGCAGCCUUUACGUAGCUCCUUCGACGAGUCGAGUUGUUUGGGAAUGCAGCUCUAAAUGGGAGGUAAAUUUCUUCUAAAGCUAAAUACCGGCCAGAGACCGAUAGCGCACAAGUAGAGUGAUCGAAAGAUGAAAAGCACUUUGGAAAGAGAGUUAAAAAGCACGUGAAAUUGUUGAAAGGGAAGCGCUUGCAACCAGACUUCGUAGCGAUGUUCCGCCGGUCUUCUGACCGGUCUACUCAUCGUCGCGAGGCCAACAUCGUCUGGGGCCGCCGGAUAAGACCUAAGGAAUGUAGCUUCCCUCGGGAAGUGUUAUAGCCUUUGGUGAUGCGGCGCGUCUCGGGCGAGGUCCGCGCUUCGGCAAGGAUGUUGGCGUAAUGGUUGUCAGCGGCCCGUCUUGAAACACGGACCAAGGAGUCUAACAUCUAUGCGAGUGUUCGGGUGUCAAACCCCUACGCGUAAUGAAAGUGAACGGAGGUGGGAAGCGCAAGCUGCACCAUCGACCGAUCCUGAUGUCCUCGGAUGGAUUUGAGUAAGAGCAUAGCUGUUGGGACCCGAAAGAUGGUGAACUAUGCCUGAAUAGGGUGAAGCCAGAGGAAACUCUGG